GCAUGGACUCCCCCCACACCCUGCACUGGCUUCUGGAGACACCCAUCGUGCUAAACCUUAGCCUGGACUCUGAGGUCUCCAGUUUUCCUGCCUACACUCAGCUGCUGGUAAGAGCCGGAGUCACAUAGCUGUGCCACCUGCGGUAGUGCUGCUGGCAGAGUGUGGUAGAGCCUGGCUGCGGUGCUGGGGCUGCGCUGUGUAGACAGUUUCCUCUGUCCGCUCCGUGCUGCUUUACCUCCUCAGUGGGUGUUGCUCCUGAGGGGAGUUUUUGAGGACCAUCAGCUCCCCCACCCACAGCCCCCUGCUUGUGUCCCCUGCACUAAACCAAAACGCCAGCCCCCCGGGACCCCUGCUGGGCAUGAAUGGACUGAGAGAGCUCCCUCUGGACAGCGUCAAGGGUCUAAUGAUCAACUGCACAAGUUGAAUCAGAAAUGAACAACGAUUGGGGAAGAAGUGGGGAUGACAGUGCACUGCAGAAAAAGGAGGUUGUGUGGUCCAGUGGUUAAAGAAAAGUGCUUGUAACCAGGAGGUUCUCAGUUCAAAACCCACCUCAGCCACUGACUCAUUGUGUGACCCUGAGCAAGUCACUUCACCUCCUUGUGCUCCGUCUUUCGGGUGAGACGUAGUUGUAAGUGACUCUGCAGCUGAUGCAUAGUUCACACACCCUAGUCUCUGCAAGUCGCCUUGGAUAAAGGUGUCUGCUA